AUUGAACGCUGGCGGCAUGCUUUACACAUGCAAGUCGAACGGUAACAGGCCUUCGGGUGCUGACGAGUGGCGAACGGGUGAGUAAUGCAUCGGAACGUACCCAGAGGUGGGGGAUAACGCAGCGAAAGCUGUGCUAAUACCGCAUGUGAUCUGAGGAUGAAAGCGGGGGACCGAGCAGCAAUGUUUGGCCUCGCGCCUUUGGAGCGGCCGAUGUCGGAUUAGCUAGUUGGUGGGGUAAAGGCCUACCAAGGCGACGAUCCGUAGCUGGUCUGAGAGGAUGACCAGCCACACUGGGACUGAGACACGGCCCAGACUCCUACGGGAGGCAGCAAUGGGGAAUUUUGGACAAUGGGCGCAAGCCUGAUCCAGCAAUGCCGCGUGCGGGAAGAAGGCCUUCGGGUUGUAAACCGCUUUUGGCAGGAACGAAACGGUGUCCGCUAAUACCGGGCGCUAAUGACGGUACCUGCAGAAUAAGCACCGGCUAACUACGUG
rnacentral:rRNA from 1 species